rnacentral:rRNA from 1 species
CAGCCGCCACGGUAAUACGUAGGUGGCAAGCGUUGUCCGGAAUUAUUGGGCGUAAAGGGCUCGCAGGCGGUUUCUUAAGUCUGAUGUGAAAGCCCCCGGCUCAACCGGGGAGGGUCAUUGGAAACUGGGAAACUUGAGUGCAGAAGAGGAGAGUGGAAUUCCACGUGUAGCGGUGAAAUGCGUAGAGAUGUGGAGGAACACCAGUGGCGAAGGCGACUCUCUGGUCUGUAACUGACGCUGAGGAGCGAAAGCGUGGGGAGCGAACAGGAUUAGAUACCCCCGUAUCCCUGUCUCUUAUACA